UAUAAUAAUUGGUUAAUUUAAUUAUAUUGUUGGAUUUAGUUUACCCCAUAAUUAUGUUUUGGUGACGGAUUAAUGCCGUUUUUGGAAAAAAAAUUUAACAGCGGUAUAAUCGUCGGAAUACCUCCCGGAUAAAAGGAAUUGCGAAAUAGAUAAACGAAUAAACAAAUAAAACAGGCGUGGUAAUUUUUUAAAGGAAUUGGGAUGAAAACCAGCGAUUGAAAUCCGUCGUUACCCAUAAUGUUCGUAUUAUAUGUUUUAAACAGGUAAUUAAUUUUAUUUAUUACGAAACUAUUACCAUUUGAGGAAAUGUUUGGUAUUAAUAUAAAAAUUAAGCGGAAAUAAGCCCACCAAACCCCUAAAACAUUAUAUGGACGUUUGCAAAAUGACAUUUCUAUAUUUGUUCGCAUCUUUUGCAUAAUAAAGAAACGAAAUUUGAAUUUAGGCAUACCGUUCCUUUUUUCGAUAUAAAAUAACCUGGAAUUUUGUAAGUCGAAAAUAUUAAAUUAUUCCGAAAUGUAACCAAUUUGUUUAAACCUGUUUACAAUAGCUUCGCGUAAUCCUAUAUAGGCCUCGGUGUUACAAUAAAGGUAUCGGGGUAAUUUGUUCCUGAAAAUAAAGGUACGAUUGCUAAAAGCAAAUAAGCGUUAAUAUUGUAAUUGGAAAUUUUCGAUAAUUGGGGUAAAAUUAUAAUCGGUUUCAAAUAUAAUAAAUAUCGAGGUUAAUCUUAAAAAUAAAUUUAUUAAUACGGUAAUAAAUUUGUUUAUUUAACCUGUGGCCCAAAUGUGAUUUUUUUUGAUUUUUACAGAUUAUUUGACGUAAUUUGCUUUUGGCGUUAAUCCUAAUUUUAAAAAAUUAUUCGAUAUAAUACCUUGGUAAUAACGUAUGGUUACCCGAUUCCAUUUUUAUGGAAU
rnacentral:sRNA from 1 species